GAUGAACGCUGGCGGCGUGCCUAACACAUGCAAGUCGAACGCUCGCAAGAGAGUGGCGCACGGGUGAGUAACACGUAGCUAAUCUGCCCUCAAGACAAGGAUAACUGUAGGAAACUACUGCUGAUACUUGAUAAGCUUACGGACUGUAGAGGUCUAUAAGAAAAGAUUUAUCGCUUGAGGAUGAGGCUGCGCGCCAUCAGCUAGUUGGUAAGGUAAUGGCUUACCAAGGCGACGACGGCUAGGGGACCUGAGAGGGUGACCCCCCACACUGGGACUGAGACACGGCCAGACUCCUACGGGAGGCAGCAGUGAGGAAUAUUGCUCAAUGGGCGCAAGCCUGAAGCAGCGACGCCGCGUGGAUGAAGAAGGUUUUUCGGACGUAGUAAAAUACCUUUUCUUGUGUGUACGA
rnacentral:rRNA from 1 species